CCCGCCCAGGCCCGGGCAGGCGCCGGAGGCCGGGCUCGAUCUCUACGGGAUAACGUCCACGUCCCGGGAGGGGACGGGGGCCAAAGAAAGUGUCCAAGAGCCGCUCGGUCGGGCCUUCCAGGGAGGCAGUAAAGAUGCUUGGAGCCCUCAGCUGCUGGUAGAUUCCAUAAGGGAGAGUGGCUGGAGAUAAGAUGACCAUAAAAUCUUAUCUAAGUCUCUAGGUUGAGAACUCCAAGUAGGAAGAGACACAGGAGAAGGAUGGGAGAGAUUGAGCCUUUUUGAGAGUCGACUCCUCUGCUGAAUGCCACUUUGAAGGGAAGGAAGAAGUCGAAUGGCAAUUUCCAGUCCAUUCUGGGUUGGCCCCUUGGAGGCUCUGGCUUCUGGGUAAUGUCCACAAAGGUCACAACAGUUGUCAAAGAUACUUCUGUUACUUGUUGGGAAUCCUGCAGGAAGAAAGUCCAUGACAGAAAGAACUGUGAAAUUUCAUAGAAGACACAAAGAACCCAGUAAUGUUGAUAAAAACCCCAUCAGAUUCACAGAAUCUCAAGUGAAGCUCAUGAGGGACUUGGCAUAGAACUAAUGUAACUUCUGAGGCACUGAAAAAAACCACACGCAUUCCAAGGACAGCCUGCUUAGGCUGAAGCUGCUGAGGGAAUCCUGAUUCCAGCCAGGCAUGGAAGACUGGCUGAGAUGAACCAGACAAAAAAAAUGGGGAGGAGUUUAUUACUUAAGACAUGACGUGCCAGGGCGGUGCCAUGUCUGCACCCAGGAUGCAAACCGACAAACCCCGGGCCACCGAAGCAGAACGUGCACACUUAACCGCUGCGCCACUGGACCAGCCCAAGUAUACUCAAUUUUUGAAAGCCUUUGAAGGAGGGCAAAUUUUAAACUGUCCAGUAGCAGUCCCAGGAGGAUACCAAAGGAGCUGUGGUUAGAACUGGGAUAGUGGUCUUGUGAUGGAAGAAUGUAGUUUUGCAUUAAGAAGCCCACUGCUACGCACCCAAGCCACAUCCACCUACUUAGCGUUUCUUAGGAAUAAAGCUGACAUUGUUAUCUCUAUCUGUCUGAUUCCUUUUAAUUGGUUUCAAACUCGGGCAGGGAAAAGAGGAGUGUCAUUAGCUCCCUCAAACUCCAAGACUAGGGAAUGUCUGGUGGCUUGAGGUUAGCCUAUACUCAGAACUGACCUCUAAGAUAGCUAUGAGCACAAGAAGGCAACCUUUAGGCCCAUGUCUACUCAAAUAUAUAUACAUAUAUAUGUAUUCAAUGCCCGGGAAACCCUACCUGAUAAAAGUUUUUUUUGAAGAGAAUUGUUUUUUCAGAUUCACCCAGGAUAUAGGCUCAUCAAGAGCUGCUACUAGACUUGAUUUUAAGAUGACAAUGGAAAGAUAUCUUGUCCCUAUUUAUCUCAAAACCACUCCAAUCCAAUAAGAAACAGAUACAAAAACCGCCAUCUUCACUGAAAUGGAGAGACAUCACAAUAUGUGAAUACAGAAAGCAGAUGGAAGCAAGGUUUCACAGAGGGAAAGAAUGCCAAACCUAAAAGCCUUCAGAGACUAGAAACAAGCAGAUUUCUGUGGGACCCUGAAAGACUAAUAGGAUAUAACAGAGAAGCAGGGAUGAGGUGGGGACAGAAAAUGGUUACUGAAUGAUAGCCCCUGGCCUACCUUAUAUUUCAGAGUUCCCCUGAAGAUUGGGCUAAUGCUAGAUACUGUUAUAAUUUGUCAAAUUUAUAAUUGUAUAAUUUAUCAAAAUAAUGCAUAUUUUUUAAGUGAAAAAAUGCCAGAAAAGAGGAUAUCAACAAAAAAUAAAGUCCUAUAUCCCCCCUCACCAUCCUGCUCUGCAGAAAUUACCUUUUUAGCUCUUUUACUAUUUCUUCUGAUAUUUACCUCAAUUUCUAAGCAAUACUAUACUGUUACCUCUUGAACCAUGUGUUAAGUUUAGUUCUGUUAUUCUCCUCCUACCCCUCCCAUCACUCUCCCAAUGUAAUUAUAUCAAAAUAUUUUAUUAAAUUAAUAUGCAAACUAAAAACCUAUCCAUCAUCCUUGACUCAUUCUCCCUCAACAUCCACAUCCAAGCCAUCAAGUCCUACCUGUGACACUCCUAAAUCCUCUCAACUCUGUCUACUUCCUGCAGGCCUCACAGCCCGACCCUGGCUCAGGCUAUUAACAUCUCCUGGUGAAUUUCUAGAACCAUGCUGUAAACUUCACUUCGGUAUGGCUCCACACUUUCUAUAACAGCAGGGAUGACGGCUAUCUUUGUUGAGUGUUCUUUGUCUUUCUUAGUAUACUGCCUGUUUAAUUAUGAGAUUGUGGCAGAGGUUCUUGGCCUGGCUUCAAGAAAUCAAUAAAUCCCUUGAAACUAUGUAAAGAACGUUAUGUGUCUAUGCACUUUUCUAGUAAGUGAAUAGCUUUCAACAGAUUGUCAAUGGGGUCUAUAAGAUUAAGAACCACUAAGAAGACUGGCAGAUAUUGGCAGUUUUUCUAGCAUAUGCUGUUUGAUUGAUACAUAAAACGCUGCCAACUUUCAAUUAUAAUGAAUAAAAGGCAUUUAUUAAAUAAAACAAUAUAAUUAGCUUUGAAAUGUAGUCAGAAAUGUAUUCUCUAAAAUUGUUUUUUCGAAUUGCAGAUUGUGACCCAUUAAUGUCUAGUAUUUUAAAAAAACAGAAUAACUACAAUAGAAAAUAUCAUAGAGUACAUUGCAUAAAGAUACUGUCUUAUAAAACUUUUAUUUCAGUUUUAUACAUGUGUGUGUUUUAAGCUGGGUUGUGUGUAAAAUAUAUUUCCUAUCAUGGGUGAUAGCCAACAAAGGUUGAAAAACACUGCUCAUCUCUUUUGUGUUUUGCUUUAAACCUUCUUGAUACGCCACUUCCAUGGAAAGUUAGAAGCAAAAAAGUUAUGAUAAAAGUAAUAAUGAUGAUAUGAUGAGCAAUAUUUACUGAGUGUUCACUAUGUGCCAGGAGCUGUGCUAAGUGUUUUACUUUUAUGAUCUCACUUACUCUGUACAACCCAAUGAAGUAUUAUUAUUAAUAUCAAUUUUAGAGAUGAGAACACUUAGAUUUAGAGAAGUAAAAUAACUUGAUUUAGACCUAGGUCUGACUCAAAACGCAUGCUCUUAAUUACCACCCUAAACUGCAGGCAACAGGUCUCCUAGAUAAUCUAAAAAGCUUGAGGAUUCACUUAAAGAUAAAGAUGAAUUGAUAUUAUUGUGGAAAGGGUUCAGAGCUUUGAUCCUGUGAUGCUACACUGUUCUUUACACUCACUUAUUAUUUUCAUUUUAAUUGAUCCAGAAUAUUCUGUAAAACUAGUUGUUUCUUCCUAGAGAUAUAUUUUCUUUUUUAAAUUAAAAAGUUUAUAUGCAGACAGGAGACAAUGUAUUUUAUCAAUCCUCAAACUUAAAGGUCUCUUUAAGGGCCCAAUUAGUAUAAAAUUAUAAGCAGCAGAGUAUCAUGUAAAUAAAUCCUAUUUACUUCAGGAGUUUGUCGUGCGUAUUCAACACUUAUUAAACAACACAUAAAAAUACUACCAAUACCUGUCGCAUAGUAAAUGUUCAAUGCAUGUUUAGCUAUUAUUUUAUCAUACAAGACGACAGGGAAGUCUAGACAGUGUUUUGCUUAAUUCUACCCUACUUUGUAGUCUGUCCUUGGGAACUUUCCAAAAUUUUGCUACUUCACUUUUUAUAGUGAGAGGAAUGUAAAGUGUUUCUAAAGCUACAACUACACAAUGAAAAGUCAUUCAGACAGUUCAGUCUAAAAUUCAACUGACCAUCUAACAGCUUGAUUUCAGGGUUCAUAAACACAAUUGCCUACUGGCCUAAGCUGAUAACCUGAAUGAGAGAAGUGGGAUGGCUAAGGGUGGGUAGGCAUAGGGUGUGUGAAUGGGGUACUCUAUUUAAAAGUGGAAAUCACCAUCAGUGACAGGAGAUUUUAUGCCAUGUAGGAGUGGAGGAUCUCUAUUGCCAGAUCUUCAAAAGAAGUUAGAAAUCUGGAUGUCAAAGUGAAAUUUCCCGAUCUUUAAGUGUUGGCACAAAUUUAAGAAACAAAACACUUUGUAGGCCAAACAAAACAAGUCUAUAGGCUAUAUAAAGCCCAUAGGCUGCCAGUUUGCCACCCAGCUUUAGUUUUAUGCCAUUACUCAGACACAUGAAGCUGAGUGACAUAGCCUAGGUGAGACCAUUAUCAACCACAACCUUUCAAAGGGUGGCCAGAAGGGGAGGGAGAAGAAUUGUAGAAGAUAUGCCUUCAGCAAGUGUAACUCCUCUUUUCACUUUAGAGGCUCUUGCUGUUCUGAGAAAAAAAUUUCACAGGAAGUCCUGAGACACAAGCCCGUGUGGAUAAGGGAAUUGAUUAAAGUUAAAGACAAAUAAUUAGUAUAAACGCAUAAAGAAAAAGUAUGUUUAUGUGACUUCAGGAGAAAAUUUCCAUUCAAGAUUGAAGAAAUAAAAAAAAUCUUUCAAUACAGAUACUAAAACUCUCUCUUUAUUAGAGAAAGAAAUACUUUGCUUAACUUUUGUGAUCUGACACUAUCAUUUCAUAACUCCUUUUACUUUUACAGGGCCUGGCAUCUUUAAUGGAGGUGAGUUUCUCAAGUCAACCCUUAAAAUAAAAAUUUCUGUGUAAUCAAAAUUAGCUUUGCAAAUCCUUUAAAUGACCCUAAGUAAAUGAACAUGAUUUUGUAUAUACCAUACCACCUCUCAAUAAGUUCAAAACAGCUAAUUUUUACUCCAUCAUUGGGACAGAUACUGUUUCUUCAGUGAGCAGGAAUGAAGCAAAGCUGAAAUUCUCAAUUGUCAACCACUUAGGCCAGUUAGAUGUGAAUGACUGUAAAAUGUGAUUUUGUAGAGGGGGCAAGCUAGGCUGAAAAGCUAACCUCUACUAAAUACUACAAAAAGACAAUGAUUAAAAUAUCUAGACAAGAAAGGGGCACUGGGUAGCUUUAAUGGCUAAGAGAACCAGAGAUCUGGGAAAAUAAAAAGAAGAGUCCUAUGGGUAUCUUCCCAAACUACACAGGUACUCAUAAAUAAAGAUACAGUUAAGAAAAAUAUAACAAUGGAUUCACUGCAGGAUCUGUAACAGAUUCAAUGAGUCUUAUAGAAAUAGUUCUGUUUUAUUCACUAAACCAACACAGAGAGAGCAUGGUAUGUUCUCAGUAACACAGUUUCUAAUAACCUGAAUUUUAACCCAAUUUAUAGGCACAGAGAGCUAAGGUGCUCAACCUUGUUGUAAGGAAGAACUAAAGGUAUUUUACUUUUGACCUAAAUGUAGUCUCUAGUUUAUUUCUUUGCUGGGAUGUAAAUGCAAUGACUUAAAGUUAAUAAUGUCAAUAGUUUUAAUUUUCAUUAAAAAUUAAUAAAGUGGCAUACCAGUUUAUAUAAGAAUCAGUUUACCAGGACCUACUCAUUUCUGUUUUUGAACUUCUAAAGCUAACAAUUAGGUUCUAAAACCAAGGCUGAUGCUAAAUCUAUCCUAAGGUACAUCAUAGACAAUUGGUAUAUGUUUACUCCAUAUUAAAAUUAUUUAUUUUAAUGGAGCACAAUCAACCAAGAAUUGAUGACUACAAACUUGUCACAGCAGUAACUUUAACAGCAAUGAACAGGCUCAGAGACUCUGAUAAGUCUGUAACUGUCACACUGAAUACACAGUUAUGGAAAAUGUUUUCCGUAGUUGAAUCUACAAGUAUAGUAAUACUAGUAUGAUAAUUUAAAAGAAAUUAAUCUACACCUUAGUCUGGGUUCAGGAAAUUUCAAAAAAACUGGAGGAAAAAAGGACAUAGAUUGUAUUCACCAUGACAACAUGCUAAUUUCAGUAACCAGGCAGGCAGGAUAGACUUGAAAGUUAAUUGUGUCAGCUCACUCUAACCAAACAUUGGCUGGUAGCAUAAACUGGCUCUCAGAAGUUAAAAAACGAUCUGGGCAUCAAAUGGCUGACAAGACAAUCAUGGCUUUGCAAGGCUUAGUGGUCCUUUAUGAGACAUG